AACGAACGCUGGCGGCAGGCCUAACACAUGCAAGUCGAGCGAGGACUUCGGUUCUAGCGGCGGACGGGUGAGUAACGCGUGGGAAUGUGCCCUUCUCUACGGAAUAGCCCUGGGAAACUGGGAGUAAUACCGUAUACGCCCUAUUGGGGAAAGAUUUAUCGGAGAAGGAUCAGCCCGCGUUGGAUUAGGUAGUUGGUGGGGUAAUGGCCUACCAAGCCGACGAUCCAUAGCUGGUUUGAGAAGAUGAUCAGCCACACUGGGACUGAGACACGGCCCAGACUCCUACGGGAGGCAGCAGUGGGGAAUCUUAGACAAUGGGGGCAACCCUGAUCUAGCCAUGCCGCGUGAGUGAUGAAGGCCUUAGGGUUGUAAAGCUCUUUCAGCUGGGAAGAUAAUGACGGUACCAGCAGAAGAAGCCCCGGCUAACUCCGUG
rnacentral:rRNA from 1 species